ACCAAAGAGGACUGUGAUGAAAGCUUCGAGUAAUGAACCGUUUUUCAUUACAAGCUUGGCCAACUGACUACAAUCUACAAUAAACUAAUAUGGCUUUUCAAUCCUCUCUUCAAUCACUUGGUACCACCAGGAACCUUUAAAUGGGCACUCAAGCUGCCUGGAGACUGUUUUGUCGUGCACAUCAGAGAAACCACAGGCAAACAUUAAACAGCAGCAGCUGGAAAACUGGAAAACCUAAAGCCAAAUAAUCAAUAAGACAUAACAAACUUUUGUAUGAGUAAAGGCUCUAAACAGUACUUGUACACUGUGGAAAUCCCAUAAGAACGUCUCCUGAACUCUGAAAAAUAACAAAACAAAGA